UCGAAAUGAUGUGAUCUAUAUAUAUUUGCUACUUCAGAGGGGUGAAACAGACCCGAUGAGACAACCUUAUCCACCAAGAUCUCUGAUCCU
rnacentral:snoRNA from 1 species